GGUAUGAUGAAAUAGAUCUAGAAGAAGUAGAACAUCUAGAAAGCUGUAAGAAUGGAACGCAAGGUGUAAUAACACAUUCGAAGUUAAAUUAUAAAUACCAGAUGGUUGUGAAGUGUGAUUUCAAGACAGAUUGAACAAGUCAAUGUUAGCUAUCGCAGUUGUUUUGCAUAAAUUUUAAACGUGCCUCAUCUUCCAGCCGUCGUUUUGCCUCUAGAAGCUGCGUAGCUGUAUCAGGUGGAGGAAGAAUAGGCAUUGAAGGAUCUAGGGCAAUGGGCUGAGUAGGCUGUACCCCACAGGGGAAAGGAUAAGUUGGAACAUGUGGAUUAGAUGAUUUGGAAUAAGAAAUACUGCUUUGCAAAUGCAAGGGAAGAGGCCCCCCUCGCUCUACAGAGCUUGAACGUGGAAUAUUGGUAUUGGCGAAGUUGUAGACAACGAAGAUCGAUUUGAUUUCUUAUGUUUCGUGGAGGAAUCUUUUUCUGAAUCUGGACCAUGACCAUGAGAAGUGUAUUUCUCAUUGU